AGUGAACGCUGGCGGUAGGCCUAACACAUGCAAGUCGAACGGCAGCACAGUAAGAGCUUGCUCUUACGGGUGGCGAGUGGCGGACGGGUGAGGAAUACAUCGGAAUCUACUUUUUCCUGGGGGAUAACGUAGGGAAACUUACGCUAAUACCGCAUACGACCUACGGGUGAAAGCAGGGGAUCUUCGGACCUUGCGCGAUUGAAUGAGCCGCUGUCGGAUUAGCUAGUUGGCGGGGUAAAGGCCCACCAAGGCGACGAUCCGUAGCUGGUCUGAGAGGAUGAUCAGCCACACUGGAACUGAGACACGGUCCAGACUCCUACGGGAGGCAGCAGUGGGGAAUAUUGGACAAUGGGCGCAAGCCUGAUCCAGCCAUACCGCGUGGGUGAAGAAGGCCUUCGGGUUGUAAAGCCCUUUUGUUGGGAAAGAAAAGCAGCAGGUUAAUACCCCGCUGUUCUGACGGUACCCAAAGAAUAAGCACCGGCUAACUUCGUG
rnacentral:rRNA from 1 species